AACGAACGCUGGCGGCAGGCCUAACACAUGCAAGUCGAACGGGCGUCGCAAGACGUCAGUGGCAGACGGGUGAGUAACACGUGGGAACGUGCCCAUCGGUUCGGAAUAACCCAGGGAAACUUGGGCUAAUACCGGAUACGCCUCGAUGCAAAUCGGGGGAAAGAUUCAUUGCCGAUGGAUCGGCCCGCGUCUGAUUAGCUAGUUGGUGAGGUAACGGCUCACCAAGGCGACGAUCAGUAGCUGGUCUGAGAGGAUGAUCAGCCACACUGGGACUGAGACACGGCCCAGACUCCUACGGGAGGCAGCAGUGGGGAAUAUUGGACAAUGGGCGCAAGCCUGAUCCAGCCAUGCCGCGUGAGUGAUGAAGGCCCUAGGGUUGUAAAGCUCUUUCGCACGCGACGAUAAUGACGGUAGCGUGAGAAGAAGCCCCGGCUAACUUCGUGCCAGCCGCCGCCGUAACAC
rnacentral:rRNA from 1 species